UUGGAGGGCAAGUCUGGUGCCAGCAGCCGCGGUAAUUCCAGCUCCAAUAGCGUAUAUUAAAGUAGUUGCAGUUAAAAAGCUCGUAGUUGAACUUCGGGGUUUACCCAUUGGUCAGGCUUAAUUGUUUGUACUGGUGAGAUAAAUCUCUACCUUCUGAGGAACUUUCAUGCCAUUUGUUUGGUGUGAUUGGAAAUCAGGACUAUUACUUUGAAAAAAUUAGAGUGUUUAAAGCAGGCUAACGUCUGAAUAUAUUAGCAUGGAAUAAUGAAAUAGGACGGCUUGGUUCUAUUUCGUUGGUUUCUAGGAUCACCGUAAUGAUUAAUAGGGAUAGUUGGGGGCAUUAGUAUUCAAUUGUCAGUGGUGAAAUUCUUGGAUUUAUUGAAGACUAACUACUGCGAAAGCAUUUGCCAAGGAUGUUUUCAUUAAUCAAGAACGAAAGUUAGGGGAUCGAAGACGAUCAGAUACCGUCGUAGUCUUAACCAUAAACUAUGCCGACUAGGGAUCGGACGAAGUUAAUUUUAUAAUGACGCGUUCGGCGCCUUACGGGAAAC
rnacentral:rRNA from 1 species